AAGACCUCAAAUAAGGUGGGACUACCUGCUGAACUUAAGCAUAUCAAUAAGCAGAGGAAAAGAAACUAACAAGGAUUCCCCUAGUAAUGGCGAAUGAAGAGGGAAAAGCCCAAAUUUGUAAUCUGGCUCUUUCAGAGUCCGAGUUGUAAUUUUAAGAACUGUUUUCAGUGCUGGACCAUGUUUAAGUCUGUUGAAAGGCAGCAUCAUUGAAGGUGAUAAUCCUGUUCAUGAUAUGGACUCCCAGUGCAAUAUGAUACAGUCUCUAAGAGUCGAGUUGUUUGGGAAUGCAGCUCAAAGUGGGUGGUAAAUUCCAUCUAAGGCUAAAUAUUGAUGAGAGACCGAUAGCAAACAAGUACCGUGAGGGAAAGAUGAAAAGAACUUUGGAAAGAGAGUUAACAGUACGUGAAAUUGUUAAAAGGGAAACGAUUGAAGUUAGACUUGUUAUUAUUAGUUCAACCUUUUUCAAAGGAGUAUUCUAAUGAUUAACAGACCAACAUCAAUUUUUGAGUGUUGGAUAAGGGUUUGAGGAAAUGUAGCAGUCUCUGAUUGUGUUAUAGUUCUGAGCUUUGAUACGAUGCUUAAGAUUGAGGAAUGCAGUAAGCCAUUUGGGUGGAACAAAUUGAU
rnacentral:rRNA from 1 species